AAAUCUCACUCAGUUAAUAAAUCAAUCCCCUUUUCGCACCCCACAGAGAGAGAGAGAGAGAGACGACAACGAGUCUUCUUCUACUCUCCAUCUCUUCUACCUCACCAACCCUCUCCGUCGUACUACGUUCUCGUAAUCCCCGACGCGACGCCGUAUGCUGACUGCAACUUAAUUUCCGGUUUAACCGUCUUUGAGCAUUUGUUGGACGCAUCUCUUCUUCAUGCGGGAUUAAAUUAGGUUUGAACUGAAUCGUCGUCGAUGGGUCAGAAGAAGAAACCCCCCGCGCCUCGCUCCAAGCAAUCGCUAUCUUCUUCAGCGGCGGAGGCUGAGCCGUCCUCUGAGGUUUCCGCUUGUACCUCCUAUGAUGGCGACGAGCCGUCAAAUUUGGCUGAAAUCAAGGUCGAGUGCGAGAAGGCACUGACGUCAUUCCGGCGAGGUAGCUACAACAAGGCGAUUCGGCUCAUGAAGGAAUCAUGCUCUCGCCACCAACACUCUGCCCUGAUUCACCGUGUCCAAGGUACUGUGUGCGUGAAGGUUUCUUCUGUAUACGAAGACGCAGUUACUAAACAGAAGUACAUCCGUAGCGCUAUUGAAUCCGCUAGAAAAGCUGUGGAGCUAUCUCCCAACUCUAUUGAGUUUGCCCAUUUUUAUGCUAACCUGCUUUACGAGGCUGCUAGCGAUGGUAGAGAGUACGAGGAGGUUCUGCAGGAGUGUCACAGAGCCCUCUCCAUUGAGAAUCCAAUCGAUCCUGCUAAAGAUAGUCUCCAGGACGAGAGUCAGCACAAGAUAUUGACACCUGAGGCUCGUAUUGCGAAUGUUCAGGAUGAGCUCAGGUCACUGAUACAGAAGUCUAAUCUUGGUUCGUUGUCCACUUGGAUGAAACAUCUGAGAAAUGGAGAAGGGGAGUUUCGGUUGUUUGACAUGAGGAAGAUGGCUGAGGAUCCUAUUGAGAGUAACUUGGUUCAGACCAGGAGGCCGAACGAGAUUAAGAAAGCUACCAAGACUCUUGAAGAGAGGAGGAAGGAGAUUGAAGUGAGGGUGGCUGCAGGUAGGUUGUUGCAGCAGAAAUCAGAAUCUUCCUCGGUAGAUAGUGUUAACAGCAAGGGAUCAGAUCCAGCAUUAGGCUCCGGUCAGAGAAGCGUGGAGAGGAGAAAGCAUGGAAAUGCAAGGAAGAACGACUCUACAGUAGAGAGAAGAGAUCGGGUUAGAUCAUAUUGGGAGUCUACAGGCAAAGAAAUGAAAAAAGAAUUGCUUAGGAUUAAGGUUAGUGAUCUUAAGAGUCACUUUAGCGCAUCCAAGGAUGGCGAUGCAAAUGAUAUAAUAACUGAAGCUUUGUCCUUUUGUGAAGCUAAUAAGACUUGGCGGUUUUGGGUUUGCUGCAAGUGUAGUGAAAAGUUCAAGGAUUCUGAGUCUUAUAUGCAGCAUAUUGUAGGGGAGCAUAUAGGUAACGUUUUGCCUAAGAUGCAAAUGGUUUUGCCUCAGAGUCUCGAUAGUGAGAGGAUUGAGAUGCUUCUUACUUCCCCAUGGAAACCAUUGGAUUUUCCUGCUGCGGUGAAAUUGCGUUGCAGCCAGCAGAAAAUCCAAAAUACUGAGUUCAAUGAGUUUUACGCUGAAGAUUACAUGGACGAUGGUGACGAUUGCUUCCAGGAUGCAUGGAAUGAUACUUCACCAGAGAAAGAAAAAAUUGGAGAUGCUUGCAACGGUUAUGAGAAGAAUGAGUCGGAAAAGGGUAGGCUGCCAAAUCCGUUUUAUCUUCCUGAUGAAUGGCCGAUAUCUGAUGAUCCUGAACGUACAAAGCUCCUUAAAAGCAUCCGUGCAGCAUUUGAGCUACUUAUCAAACACAGUUAUUUAGCUACCAGCCAUUAUGAUAAGGUGAUACAGUUUACUCUGGAUGAACUACGGAAUCUACCCUCGGUUUCGCAAUUCUUAAAUCGUGGUUUGUGUCAGUCACCCAUAUGCAUACGCUUCUUGGGAGCUUCCCAGCUCAAGAAAAUUCUUCAAUUCCUGCAAGACUUGUCACAUGCAUGUGGGGUGAGUCGAUAUUCGGAACAAAGUAACCCCAACGAUGAAGUUAAUAAUUUUGUUGACCUGGGUCUUCAAAUUACAGAAGAGAUUUGUCUUGAUGGUGAAGGGUCAUGCCUUCUUCUGGAUGAAAAAUUGCUUGGCUCAGAGUGCAUCCAAGACAAACAUAUGGGCUCAGCAUUGAAUAAUGGAGAUAUUGCCAGUUCUGAAGAUAUUGCUAAUGGCAAUAAUGUGUCUUCUGGUGCGGAUGGUUUUCUAUCAUGGAUCUUCUCAGGACCCUCUAGUGGGGAACAAACUGCGAUUUGGAUGCGCACAGUGGAAGAGAAAACAAAUCAAGGACAAAAGACCAUGGAGAUUCUUGAGAAGGAGGUCCGUGACUUGCAGAACCUCUUCGAGAGAAAAUGCGAGCACUUAAGCUACGAGGGAGCACUUCAAACUGUCGAGGACCUUUGUCUUGAAAAAGGCCGGAAAAGAGAGACUUCACCGGACUUUACCCAUGAAAGCUAUGAAUCUGUGCUGAGAAAACGAAGGGAAGAGCUAAACGAGAGUGCCCAUGAAAUGGAGUUUAUUAGUAGUAGCUUUGAAUUAGAAGCUAUAAAAAAUGUUUUGAGAGACGCGGACACUCUUAACCGCAAUCAGUUUGGAUAUGAAGAAUCAUAUACAUGCACGAGUUCUCAGCUACGUGACCUAGAAUCUGGUGAAGCCGAUGAAUGGGGGAUGAAAUAUUCUUUUAGUGAAGCUGACAGUUUCAUAGAGACUGCGAUCCAGAAACAGAAGGAGCAGUUGUCUACAGAGCUUAACAGAAUCGAUGCAAGAAUGAUGCGCGGUGCUACUGUGGUGCAGCAAUUAGAGCUAAAGCUUGGACCUGCUUCAUCCAAUGAUUAUCAGAUAGUAAUGUUACCGUUGGUCAGGUCUUACAUGCGUGCACAUUUGGAGGCAUUGGCAGAGAAAGAUGCCACUGAGAAGUCUGAUGCUGCAAGCAAAGCGUUUCUCGUUGAGCUCGCCCUUGAUUCUAAGAAGGAGGCCCGAGGGAGAAAUGAUCAUUCGAAACACACCCAAGAAAAGCCCAAGGAUAAGAAAAAGAAUAAGCACUCUAAAAAACUGAAAGAUUCGAAGGCUUCUGUUGGAAACGACCAUCGCUUCAAUGUUGAUUCAGUUGAACACAGCCUCCCUUCGGUUGCAUCUUUUGGUGAUCCCUCAGAGGCUGACGUUGUUCCUGAAGCUGUUGAAUCUUUAAAAGAACAGGAAGAGGAAUGCAGACGCCGAACAGAGCUAGAGCUAGAUGAGAUAAAGCUUGAAGAAACUCUAGAGUAUCAAAGAAGAAUUGAGGAUGAAGCCAAGGGGAAGCAUAUUGCAGAACAACAAAAGAAAUACAGCUCUUUAGUUACAACGAGUGAUGCAGAGGCAGUGCAUGAUAUUUGCAGAGAUGGUGUCGUUGUUGAUUUAGAUUUACGAGAACAAGAAAAAUCACUAAGUCAGGAGAACCUGGUUCAAAGAAAUGGACUACCUCAUGACUUGGAAGUAACCCACGUGUAUAGAAAUGGUGACUCUCGGUCAACAAAUCAUUGUGAGAUAUCUGAUGCUGCAACAGUUCAGGAUGUGAAAUCCCAAAAAGUAGUGGCUAAUGGGGUAGCUACCCAAGCUGGUGUUUUACAAUCUGAUCAACGCAUUGGGAGGAGGGGUAGACGCCAAAAAACUUCUAACAAGGUAGUUGGACCUUCUGAGAGCACCGGCAAGGAGAGAGAAUCUGAAACUCUGCGUAGCAAUGGUGAUGUGGAAACAAAGACAUUAAGACAACUACAAGCUGAAGAGGAUGAAGAAGAAAAGUUUCAAGCAGACCUUAAAAAGGCAGUGCGUCAAAGCCUUGAUACGUACCAAGGAGGUAGAAAUAUGACGUCAUGUUUGAGGACACCUCUGGAAGUAAACAGUCAUAAAAUUUCUGAUUCCACAAAGGAGUCUCCGACCUCUACCGAAGUUGGCAUAUUUGGCACAGGUCUUCAGAAUGAAGUUGGGGAAUACAAUUGCUUUUUGAAUGUUAUCAUACAGUCUCUAUGGAAUCUGGGGGUGUUUCGGGCUGAGUUCUUGCGUAGUUCAAUGUUAGAUCACCAUCACGUUGGAGAUCCUUGUGUCGUCUGCUCAUUGUAUGAAGUUCUUACUGCUUUAAGCGCUGCUUCGAGGGAAAUACGAAAAGAACCUGUAACUCCUUCAACACUCAGGAUUGCGUUGAGCAACUUGUAUCCAGAUAGCAGUUUCUUCCAAGAGGCUCAGAUGAACGAUGCUUCAGAAGUAUUGGCUGUGAUUUUCGACUGCCUACAUCGUUCAUUUGCUCAGAGCUCAAGCGUGUCUGACACAGAUUCUUCAGAGAGCAACUAUACAGGUUCAUGGGACUGUGCCAACCGCACAUGUAUUGCCCACACUCUGUUUGGAAUGAAUAUCUUUGAGCAACUGAAUUGCAACAGCUGUGAGCUGGAGUCGAGGCAUAUGAAGUACACUUCCUUUUUCCAUAACAUCAACGCUAGUGCCCUACGGAACAUGAAGGUUACCUGCCCCGAGACUGCAUUUGAUGAACUCCUAAAUCUUGUCGAGAUGAACCACCAACUAGCCUGUGAUCCUGAAACUGGUGGGUGUGGGAAACCCAACCAUAUCCGCCAUUUUCUUAACACCCCACCACAUGUUUUUACUGCAGUUUUAGGGUGGCAAAACACAUGCGAGAGUGUAGAAGACAUAGCAGCUACUCUUGCAGCCUUGAAUACCGAAAUAGACAUCAGCAUCAUGUACCGUGGUCUUGACCCUAAGAGCAUAUAUAGCUUAGCUUCCGUGGUUUGCUAUUAUGGACAGCAUUAUCAUUGCUUUGCAUAUAGUCAUGAACACGAUCGGUGGAUCAUGUACGAUGACAAAACUGUGAAGGUGAUCGGUAGCUGGAGUGAUGUACUUUCUAUGUGCAAGAAAGGACACUUGCAGCCACAGCUUCUUCUCUACGAGAAGCAACGUUAACCAAAAAGAAAAAGGGAAGCCAAAAAAUAGAGUAAGUGGAGAUUUGGUGCUACGGUUUAGAAGAUCUCCCAAGUACAUACUAAAAAGGAAGUAAGUACUUUUUUACAAUCAGAGCGAGAGGAAAAAUGUGAUAUACUCAUCAGUGGUUGAAAGAGGAUGGAGAAGAAGAUUUUGUCUUAUAAUUAAGCUAAAGUAUUUUCAUUGCAAGAGUUGUUACGGAAUCCAAAGAUACUUGGAUGGACUGGAAAUGUAGCGUUGAUCUGACCACUUCGUUGAAGCAGUUUCUUGUAAAACCAAAAGAGAAUAAAUGUUGUACAUUUGCAAAAUACAUAAUAUGUUUUUUUUCUUUUUGCAAAAGGCUGAUUAACAAUGCGUAAUGUUGUACUUUUAUUCUAGGAUAAUUCCGAGUUUACAAGGUUUAGAAAAUAUUAAUUUUUUAAUAAAUAUUUGUUGUAA